rnacentral:rRNA from 1 species
GACGAACGCUGGCGGCGUGCUUAACACAUGCAAGUCGAACGGUGAAGGGAAGCUUGCUUCCCGGAUCAGUGGCGAGCGGGUGAGUAACACGUGGGCAAUCUGCCCCAGACUUUGGGAUAACUACUCGAAAGAGUAGCUAAUACCGAAUAUUCAGCCUUGCAGGCAUCUGCGAGGCUGGAAAGUUUCUCGGUCUGGGAUGAGCCCGCGGCCUAUCAGCUAGUUGGUGAGGUAAUGGCUCACCAAGGCGACGACGGGUAGCCGGCCUGAGAGGGCGACCGGCCACACUGGGACUGAGACACGGCCCAGACUCCUACGGGAGGCAGCAGUGGGGAAUAUUGCGCAAUGGGCGAAAGCCUGACGCAGCAACGCCGCGUGCGGGAUGAAGGCC